rnacentral:rRNA from 1 species
AUACGGAGAGGGCAAGCGUAGUUCGGAAUCACUGGGCAUAAAGCGCACGUAGGCGGGUUGAUUAGUUGGUUGUGAAAUCCCGGGGCUCAACCCCGGAAUGGCUUCCAAAACUGUCAGUCUGGAGGACGAGAGGGGAAAGUGGAACUUCUGGUGGAGCGGUGAAAUGCGUAGAUAUCAGAAGGAACACCGGUGGCGAAAGCGACUUUCUGGCUCGUUUCUGACGCUGAGGUGCGAAAGCUAGGGGAGCGAACGGGAUUAGAAACCCUAGUAGUCC